GACCGGUCACCGCCGAACUGCCCACCCUCCGGGGCGGGCGGACCGGGGACCCACCGCAGCACUGGGGUGAGUUCUCCGCGGGCGCCACGAACGGUGGUGCGUGCGGGGAUAGGGCGUCGUCUUCCUGCCCGAACCCGUCAGCUAACCCGGUAGGCGGUCGAGGAGGAUGA
rnacentral:sRNA from 2 species